GAGCAGGCUCGCGAGAGCGAGAAAGAGCAGCAGCACAAAGCACGAGAGGGGCGAGCUUCGGAGGGGAUGAUUCGGAGCUCGACGAAAGAGCGGGGAGAGAGACGCUCGGGCAUAAAGGAGGCUUGUUCGAACGGCGGAGGGGCAGUGAGCGUCGCGACGCCCGUCGAGAAUGUGCGCGCUGCUUCGCGGCGUGCCUCCUUUCACGAGUUACCCACGUGGUCACGGAAUCUCCAACGAUUUUAUUUUCUCCGAACAUCGUUUUAAUAAACUAUGGUGAAAUCCAUCGGAAAUUCAUUUCUCGAUUAAAUUACUUUCAUUAGCAUUGAUAAUCAAGGUGUCAAUGUAGAAUGAGCCGCUAAAAAUGAUCGACGAUGUUGCUGGAAGCGAAGACGAGCGACACCGAAGUCGAGUGAUUUUAAACUAGACGACGAUCGGUCCAACUGGAAUUUCAUUGGGAAGUUUCUUUCGUAGCAAUUUCGAAAGCAUUGAAAUCGUUCGGCUCGCGAACAGCGAGUCUCGUUUCUUCGAAGAUAAUCGACUGGAGUCCGACGACAUCGACGUUUAAACGUUCCAAGUGAACAUCAUUAGGAAACAUCGAAGUUUUAUAUCGUAUUGAAAAAGUAACGAGUUCUCGAGGGGUUUGACUCUGCUGUCGAAGAAAAAGUUGUUCGAACGGGACGGUUAAUCCUCGAGUGUCGAUAUCUGGGCACCGAAACAAAAAGUAAUAGCACUGAAAAAGCUUGAUAGCCUCGGAGGAAUCGUGAUGUUUAUGAGAGCAAUUAAAGUGACGGAGUUGUGCGACGCGUGGUUGACAAGCACGGGCUUCCGAACGGUCCCAAGAGCUACGCGAAUAAAUUCUUCAUCCCGGAGAGAAUGAUAAAUAUCGAUGGGGAAAGUUAGAGAAACGAGAGUGCGAAACGAAGACUCUGGAGAUUGGUUUCGGCGCGUAAAUCGUUAUUGACUGAACGCGAGAAUAGUACGAGAGAAUAAAUUUUCGUGAACGAAAAAAGAAGAGAAAUAUUGAAAUAUUUAUCGAACUCGAUAGAGAGUGGAGUGUUAAUUGCAUGCGAGAAACAAUUGACGUCGACAACAACGAAUGACUGAAUCGAAGUACUCUGAAAACUAUAAUUAAGGCUUUAAAUUAUAAAAAAACUUCGUUCGAGCGUCGAGAACUCAGACGAAAGUAAUUAACGAGCCCCAACAGCGUUGGUCGUCCUUCCCCGUCAAACAACGAUAUCAAAUAAGUCACUCGAACGAAAAAACGGAAUAAAAAUGUCCUGCGAAAAAGCGUCCCGGCGAUUGAGGUAUCUCUUUGCCAAAGCAAAACGUCUCGGUCUGACCGAAGAGGAAGUCGCUGACUUGUCGAUCGUCAGAAAAAUCGUACCAUCGAGAUCGAGCAGCACAACGUGGUUCUUCCUCGUCGCUCUCGUCGUGCUUCUCGGUGGUUGCAUAGUACUCGCCGUACUGUGCUCGCCGUGCAACACAAGAAAUUCCCAUCAGGACAUCCGCACGAGGAUCUGAGAGGAAAAGAAAAGUCCUCAAUCCUUGACACGCAUCCUGGACAAAAGUAUAAUUCAUGAGUCGUCGCAUUCGUCACGUUAACGAGAAUUUGGCUGACGGUCGAUUGUCUCGUUCGAUCGAGAGAGACGAGCGAUUCAUCACGGAGAACACUUCCAUUGGACACGCACUGUAUCGUAUAAAUAUAUUUGUGUACGUAAUCCUGAACGAUUGGGCACGAGAGAAUGAAGCAAUGACAACUGUCGGUAUACUUUCGUAUGACAGUCCUCCUGCGAAAAAAAUCAUCAAAAUAACGAAUUAUGACGAAAGAGAAUGUCGAAUAUUUGUAACUACCAAUGACUAAUCGCUUCGAAUCUUCUUUUUAUUAUUAAACUUGUCACCAACGACAAACAAAUGUU
rnacentral:lncRNA from 1 species